CUCACGGGGUCCUACCGAACGUACAUAAUACAAUCAUACACUAAUUAUUAUUACCAUCCUGAUAAAGAAUGUGGGGAAUCAUGGAGCUAUCAUCGAGCGAUACUAGCUCCAUGGUGGGGAACCACUGAACACGCAGUGGUAACAUGCGGUUAUUUUUUACUGCUUUGGUGCGGUUUUGUAUCUGUACAUCUGUAUGGGCGAAACUUCUUGUCUGAAUCUCGAAACUCAUCGCCAAAUGCAUGCGCGAACAUAGGCUUUUUUGUGAAAGUUCUACGCAUAAACGGAAUUGGAAACCGAUAAAACCAAUGCAAAUCCUAGCUGCGCGGACAUAGGGUGUUUUGUGUACUUCAGCUUUCGAGUCGUUAUCAAGUGACCGGAAUGGAAAAAGUGAAGACAUUUUCGAUUCGUUUCUCGGUUAAAAUGCCUGUGAAGUAAUGACAUUGAUGAGACAAUUGAUUUUAGCAAGAGACUUUUGAGACUGACUUUUUUUAAAGACUGACGCAAGAAGAUAAAAAAUAAUAAAAGACAUGGGACCUCGAAUUCGACUUGAAAGUCCAAAAUAUCACCAUUUAAUAUCAAAAAGAAGUUCAAGGAGCUCUGUCUGGCAAUUUUUUGGCCUUCCUGCUGAUGAAAGUGGUAAAGGGAUUGCUUUUGAUGGUUGCAUCUGUAAGUUGUGCCAACAGACUGUAGCAACAAAAGGAGGCUCAACAAGCAACAUGAGGACUCACCUGAAAGUUCAUCAUAAAGCUGAAUACAGGAAUAUGUCGAGACCGGCGUGGAAUCGACCGAUUGGGGAAAAAAAUAUGGACGUAACACAUUCAGAACUCAAUUUAAUAGAGCCCAAAAUCGAGCUGUCACUAGCAGCAUUAGACGAACCAACCGAAGACGGAACAAUUUCGAAUCCAGUCCAUUGGGAAUCCCAAAGCAACGACGAAUCAACUGAAAAUUUUGAAGUUUCAAUUACUGAAGUCGUUUCAGCUCCAUCCAGAUCUGCCACAGUUUCAAGCAAGAACAAACGAGGUCGCGAGCAAGCAGCAGAAGCAGAUUCUGCUAAUACGGACUUUUCUAACGAUGAUAAUGCGGACGGUUUUGUCGAUUUUUUCAAGAGUCUUCUGCCUGAAAUUAAGAAAUUCUCAAAGUCACAGAAGUACCGAUGUAAAAUGGGAGUUUUAGAUGUUGUAAGCAAAAUUGCCUUGGAAGAUAAUUGCUGAACCUUAUACCGCACUGUGUU